rnacentral:rRNA from 1 species
GGGGAAGCCGAUGAUCCUAUGCUGUCGAGAAAAACCUCUAGCGAGCUACGCGCCGCCCGUACCCGAAACCGACUCAGGUGAUCAGGUAGAGAAUACCGAGGCGAUCGAGUGAACCAUGGUUAAGGAACUCGGCAAAAUGCCCCCGUAACUUCGGGAGAAGGGGGGCCCGGAUCGUGAACCCACUUGCUGGGGGAAGCGUGAAGGGCCGCAGAGACCAGGCCCAAGCGACUGUUUACUAAAAACACAGGUCCGUGCGAAGUCGUAAGACGAUGUAUACGGACUGACUCCUGCCCGGUGCUGGAAGGUUAAGAGGACGGGUCAGCCCCCUUUGGGGGGUGAAGCUCAGAAUUUAAGCCCCAGUAAACGGCGGUGGUAACUAUAACCAUCCUAAGGUAGCGAAAUUCCUUGUCGGGUAAGUUCCGACCUGCACGAAUGGAGUAACGACUUGGGCGCUGUCUCAACCGUGGACUCGGCGAAAUUGCACUACGAGUAAAGAUGCUCGUUACGCGCGGCAGGACGGAAAGACCCCGGGACCUUUACUAUAGUUUGGUAUUGGUGUUUGGUUCGGCUUGUGUAGGAUAGGUGGGAGCCGGUGAAGCAUGCACGCCAGUGUGUGUGGAGGCAACGUUGAAAUACCACUCUGGUCGUACUAGAUGUCUAACCUUGGACCGUGAUCCGGUUCAGGGACAGUGCCUGAUGGGUAGUUUAACUGGGGCGGUUGCCUCCUAAAGGGUAACGGAGGCGCUCAAAGGUUCCCUCAGCCUGGUUGGCAAUCAGGUGUUGAGUGUAAGUGCACAAGGGAGCUUGACUGUGAGACAGACAUGUCGAGCAGGGACGAAAGUCGGAACUAGUGAUCCGGCCACGGCAUGUGGAAGCGUGGUCGCUCAACGGAUAAAAGGUACCCCGGGGAUAACAGGCUGAUCUUCCCCAAGAGUCCAUAUCGACGGGAUGGUUUGGCACCUCGAUGUCGGCUCGUCGCAUCCUGGGGCUGGAGUAGGUCCCAAGGGUUGGGCUGUUCGCCCAUUAAAGCGGCACGCGAGCUGGGUUUAGAACGUCGUGAGACAGUUCGGUCCCUAUCCGCCGCGCGCGUAGGAAACUUGAGAAAGGCUGUCCCUAGUACGAGAGGACCGGGAUGGACGAACCUCUGGUGUGCCAGUUGUACCGCCAGGUGCAUGGCUGGUUGGCUACGUUCGGAAGUGAUAACCGCUGAACGCAUCUAAGCGGGAAGCACGUUUCAAGAUGAGGUUUCCCACCCACUUGAUGGGGUAAGGCCCCCUACAGACCAUGGGGUUGAUAGGCCGGAGGUGUACAGCAGCAAUGCCCAGCCGACCGGUACUAAUAGGCCGAGGGCUUGUCAUA